rnacentral:misc_RNA from 1 species
AUUUUCACGAUCUAUCAUCAAGUACCAAGCACACAAGGGAAAAAAUAAAUUACACCAAAAUAAAGAUUAUAUAUAAAUUUCCUCUGUUUACUUAUUUCCCUUAACCAUUGCUUGGAAUGAGAUUGAUGCAGAGCACGUUUAAAAGGUAACAAAAAACUACUGUUCAAAGAAAUCCAAAAUACAAUUGCGUUUACAAAUUAAAAUUUCAAAAUUCAGCAUAUAUAAAUGAGGACACUAAGAUAAUUAAAAAGAAGAACGGAAGACCACAUAGACAUUGGAACACAUCACCUAAUAAACUGAUUUGCUUUCACACCCAAAUAGUAGGGACAAGCAUGUAAUCCAAAAAUCGAAGUCAUUUAAGGUAAAUCUCAAAACUUUUUAUCCAUGGCAGAAGAACGUUUUAGCAGCGUAAAAGUUUAGAGAUAGUGCCAUUGCAGACCUCUGGAAACAGGUACCCA